rnacentral:rRNA from 1 species
UACGUAGGGCGCGAGCGUUGUCCGGAAUUAUUGGGCGUAAAGGGCUCGUAGGCGGUUUGUCGCGUCGGGAGUGAAAACUCAGGGCUUAACCCUGAGCCUGCUUCCGAUACGGGCAGACUAGAGGUAUGCAGGGGAGAACGGAAUUCCUGGUGUAGCGGUGAAAUGCGCAGAUAUCAGGAGGAACACCGGUGGCGAAGGCGGUUCUCUGGGCAUUACCUGACGCUGAGGAGCGAAAGUGUGGGGAGCGAACAGG